CCUGAAAUUGUUGGAUGUGCCCUUGGCUCUGUCCUGAGAUAUGUUCAGCUAUCCGAAGUGAGUCUAAGCACCCAUAGGAGUGAAAUCAAGAUUCCUGCCCUGGUACAUGGUUCUGCCCACAAUGUAACUGGUGGGAUUGGGGCUAAACAAGCACUGUUGUACCAUGGUAUCCGUUAUCAGCUUGUUCAUGCUUCUGGUACCAUUAGAGAAAGCCUGAAAGCAUGGAGUAGAAAGUGAAGAUUUAAACUAAGCAAAUUCAUUCCUGAAAGGCUGGGCAUUGAAACACAAUACUUCCUGCUCAUGUUUGACUUGACUUUAGCUCAUUGGUCCCUGCUGCACUCAGAGUUAUAACUCAGUAAACAUCUCCAAGGAUUGUACAUCUAAAAACAACCUUCCAAAAUCUCAAAGUGUGGCUUAAAGGCAGAAAACCUCCUAGCAAUAAAGAGGUUGCGAGAAUACAUAUCUUGACUUGAUCAUUUCCCCCUUCAGAUGUGGGCACAUGUUCAUUACAAAUUACACUGAAAUCAGUAAUUAUUUUCAUAUGGUUAGCAAAUAAUAAUGAUUCAACAUUUGCAUGUCCCUGAAUUGCAGUGGAGUGGCAUUACAGAUGGUACGAGAUGCAUCAGUUUUACAAAACAUAUUGAAGACUUCAACUUCAUGACGGAAAGUGUUCUGUCAUCACUUAACUUAUAUGCACAGUGUAGCAGGGAGUCCACAGUUACAAGAACCACUUAAGAUGCUAAAAACAGGUACAGAGAAAUAAAAUGGGAAUACUCUAAGUUACCUUAGCUUUCCACUUGUUUUUGUAAGUAGUGAAUGUUAAAGCUCCAACCAUCCUGCCUAGAUGGAGCCAUGGAUAGAACCCAAAUGUCCAAUUCCCAAUUCAUGCCUUAAAAAAACCUACCAUAAUGCAUUGCCAUGCAACCACAAUGUUGCAUGGCAAACAGAGGGGAACACAUAGAAUAAAGCUACCUGAAGCAAUAACCUUGGCUUCUAGUUUGUGUCUAUUAAGUAUUUACCCUGAGUGUGCAAACCCCACCAAGCAGCUCCCAUAAGAGUGAGAAGGAAAAGGAGCUUGCACUCGCUGGGCCUGUAGAGUGCAGUGAUUUCUAAUAACAGCGGUGUUUGCUGUGAGUGAUCUGGAUCAACAUCAAAAAAAACCCCAUCUAGUCAAGUGCACAGCAAGGGGUCUAUUCUCAUGUCCAUGCUCAUAUGUUAAGUCCCAUUGACAAGCAUUAGUGGGAACUGCAGGCACAUAUGGAUAUGUGAAUAGCCCCAAAGGGAACUGGGUAAAGUAGUGUUUGACUGCACAGAGAUCACUUCAAUUGCCAAUAUAAAAUAAUCUAGGGGCAGAAGCCUUAAAAAAUGCUGUGAACAAACCAAAUGAUUUAAAGAAAUUGAUAAAUAAUAGAGGUUAAAAAGGAAACAACAGGAUAAAAGCAGCAUUAGAAUCUGUUCUUUGAACUAAAUAGUAAACAAGAAUUAGCUUUCUGAACUAACCCUGGCUAAAAAUUACAAAAAAUGGUUUGUAACUCAGUUCUCUCAUUUUUAAAGCCUCUUUUUCUUACUGUUACUCUAUAUUCUAAGUAGAAAUCAGAGACACAACAAAAACAGCUCACUGACAAGACAUGAGUUAAGUAAAGCACUGACAAGUUUUGCUCUGCCAAAGAACAUGGUACAUGAAAUAUGGGCAGCUCUGCAAUAGGUCAAUGAUAAUGAUGCUCCUGUGGUUAUGCAGCACCAACAGCCACCCUAUAAAUGUCAAAGCCUUGCAGAAACCCCCUGAGGAAGGUUUCCUGCUACCUGAAAAGCCUCCAGCAGCCAGCCUGCUGGACAACACGUAUCUCCAAAGAGUUUGGUCUCUAUCUGCAGUAAAUCUUCAUGUUUUUGCCUGAAGCCACUGCCUAGUGCAAAACCCCAUUGUGAUUUGGAAAAUUCUUCUUACUUAUAUAGCUGAAACUAAAAAACCUUUCCUGACAGCCAAAUAUAAAUAUGUGUAAUGAACAAUGAAAUCAUGUAACAUGACCAUUGCUGCUGGAGGGUUUUAAGACAGUGAUAAGUGUCCAUAUUAAGAACCUAAACUGGUGGGAUAUGGAGUGGAUGAUGAGUAAAUAACAUGUAUAAGUCAGGUCUAACUGUGAUCAAAUCACUGGGUUCCUUACCUCAUUCUGGUGACCAUAGAGGAAUUCAGCCACCUGAAUUGCAAGUUACUGCAGAGUCCUGUGUGUCUGUGUGUCUCAUUGGCUUCAGACCCGGGCCCAUACUGCUCCAGGAACACUUCUUUGGAACAUCCCAAGGUGAAGCAAUCCAUAUGACAGAAAAUGAAGGCUCUUCUCUUGCAAGAUGUCCUUUUCCAGUAGUCAUUUAGAUCAUCAGCUAACCUAUUAAUUAUGGCAAACCAAAGCUUAUUGGGUCCCUGCGGGCCAAAGCACUUGAGAAGACAAACGACACCAUGUUCCAGACACCUACAGGUAAUUACACAUUGUGACAGCGGUGUGUGACAGAACCAUUUGAGAACUGAUGCAAAGAAGAGAGGUGCAUUUCUGGUUUGUAUAGACUGAACUGUGUUCUGAUCUCUAAGUGCCUUAGGGUCUUAGGAAUCAAAGGCUAAUUAAGCAAGGUAAAGAAAAUCAGUCACCAGGUGUUCAUCUGGAAAAGUGAUACAUCUCCAGUGAAUUUCAGCAGUUCUGGGAACUGAUUCCCCUCCCCAGAUCACACUAUGCUUUAUAAAGCUGUUUUAUCAGGCUAGUGGCAGAAGGCAACUGCUCCACAGAGAACAGAAUCUAGAGGCCCACUCUUCCCAGAGUGUCUUCUCUACCUACCAGCAGAUCUUUCAGCCCAUCUCUGACGUUUUUGGCUACUAGGAUAUACACAAAGACAGGCAUGCACUUCUAGGAGAAGCUAAAUGUGGUGCCUGACCCUUUCCUGAAGGACUCCUGAAGAAAACAGAAGAUGAGAAGAUAGCUCCUCCUCUGAAGAGUACCAGACAGCCACAGCCAGAUUUCCACUUCUGGAACAAUAACCUACCCCCAUCAGACUUCUUCCUGACAAAAGAAAAAAGACCGAUUUAUGUUCACAGACCAAGAACUAGUCAUCUUCACGUCAUACCACCACAUCCUGGAUCUAUCAGUUAUUUUAAGGAUAAAGAAGUUCCUCAUAAGCUGCCAAGUUGAUCUGCAGGACAAUUUCCUGCUUAGAGUUGAUUAUCAGCAUCACUGCAAGCCCAAAAGGCAGGUCAUCAGCCACUGGAGUGAUCCCUGCCUACAUCUCUGAGACUCUUUAGCUGUCCAGGCUUUGCUAUCACUGACAAUUUUAGUGUUCCCCAAACUUCUGGCAUGUGAGUUAUCAAUUAGUAAUGCUGCUCAGUGUCUUUUUUGUUUUGGCUUGAGUUACCAGUGUCUCUUCUGUGGACAAGUUGUAGUUAUGGUGCAGAUACAUAGACUGAAAUACCAUCGGUGACGUUCUUCACAUAUAUAUACAGCCUAUGAAUAAAAUGCAUGCAUUUCAUAGAGGUCUGUACUGAAAUGGCCCUGAAGAACCAUUGGGAAAACACCAGGACCACCUGGAGGCACAUUUAUCUUGCAGUUGGUGGAGGGUGUGAGGGAAGGCCAGACCUAAGUCUGUAAACCCCAAUUAGGUACAGACAGUGAGAGGCUGCCUCAAGUAAAUAAUUAGGCGAUGGAUACAGAGAAAAAGUGCAUCACAUGAAGCAUCAUGAGCUGUACUGAAUGGAAUUACUAUGUAGAGCUUGGCUCAAUCACCUGAGUUGAGAUUUUACAGAGAAUGUUUAGUAUAGGCUGGAAAUGUUACAACAGGCUAGAACUGGCAUCUUCCCUGGAGCAUCCUUAUCCUUCUCUAGGGCAAAAAGCUGAUCUUCACCAGCUGUACAUGCCAGUGCUGCUCUCACAGAGGAACAGGGCUGCUGUACAGGGCAGCAGGGGUGGCUGGAAAGACCACAGGGAGUGGUAGGGGACACCUGAGCAUGAAAAUAUUUCAUAUCAGAUCUAGUUACAUCCAUCUGUAAAAUCAGUAACAGCACAGACACCUGGUAGUUAUGUUUCACGGUCAAAUAAACGUUUAAGGGCAGAAAGGAUUGUGCUGAGCACAGAACUGGUCUAUGCUAUUUGAUUUUAUAGAGUUUAUCUCCCAGCUUUCAUCAGGGCUAGGGCUAGCAGGACAUUAGAGCAGGCUGAACUGUGCUUCAUCUGAACUUAGAUGGGAGACCCCUGAGAACAUACUAGAGCUGCAGGAAAUGGGGUGAGGUCCCUGCUUUCUCUUCCUUCUGCACUACACUGAGCUGUAAUUGGAGGCACCAUGUGGUGGUACAGUGGAGUCUUGAAAUGGUUUCUGUUUGUUCGUGGUUUUGACAGUUGUUGAAUUUUUCAGAAGGAUGAGGGCGGAACAGGUUUGUAGUAUGCAAACAACACCCAGGAUACAUGUCUGGGAACUGCUGUGGUGGGUACAUAUGGCCACAGAGGAGAGAAGCGGUGUGAGCAGCAGGACAAGGGAUUGUCACCAUUUCUCAGAGAAAUCAAUUGCUGGGGCAGGGCUGCUUCAGAAAAGGAGCAGCUUGGAGUGAGGCUUCAGCCUAAUAUUCUGCCUGUGACCCACUCCAGUCCAAGACUCUCUUAUUCACACUGUGAAUAAAGCACAUUUCCAUGUAGAUGAUUCCCAGAGCUGGAUCACUGCUUCUUCUUUACCAGUGAGCAGAGGCCGGGGCAUCCCUGAGGAAUCAGCUAUUUCAUGCCAGGAGGCAGGCAAAGGGUGACAGACCUGCUGGUAGGGUGCUGGCUUUUGGUGGUUUUGUGUAGCUCCAUCAGCACAUAAAUUCUGUCUCUGUCUUUUAAAGUAAUACAUUAUUAGAGAUACAUGAAUGUGUGAUACAUGAAUGUGUGAUACCGGCACACCUGGGCUGGGGCUGGAGAGCCCAUGAAAUGUGUUAGACUUGUUAUUACUUGAUUAUUCCUUUGCACAGGUGUACGUUACUGCUCCCAAAUGCUUAUGAAGCAUCUCCACUGAUGUAUGUAGACUGACAGUGUUAAAGGCUAGAGAAAGCCCCUUGAUAUAUUACAGGUCAUCGUGUGCCAGUGCCCUUGCAUUAACUUGGUUUUGGGUACAGCAGGUCUUGCUUUAAAAACAUCAGAAAAACACAGUAUCCACUUUGUGCCUUGAAAGGCAGCCUUCAGCCCUUCUUGCUGUUAAAAACUCCCUAAAUUCU